CAGGCCUAACACAUGCAAGUCGAGGGGUAUGCCGAUUUAUCGGCAGAGACCGGCGCACGGGUGCGUAACGCGUAUGCAAUCUACCUUUCACAGAGGGAUAGCCCAGAGAAAUUUGGAUUAAUACCUCAUAGUAUAAUGAGUUGGCAUCAACCUAUUAUUAAAGUCACAACGGUGAAAGAUGAGCAUGCGUCCCAUUAGCUAGUUGGUAAGGUAACGGCUUACCAAGGCUACGAUGGGUAGGGGUCCUGAGAGGGAGAUCCCCCACACUGGUACUGAGACACGGACCAGACUCCUACGGGAGGCAGCAGUGAGGAAUAUUGGUCAAUGGGCGCAAGCCUGAACCAGCCAUGCCGCGUGCAGGAUGACGGUCCUAUGGAUUGUAAACUGCUUUUGUACGAGAAGAAACACUCCUUCGUGAAGGAGCUUGACGGUAUCGUAAGAAUAAGGAUCGGCUAACUCCGUGCCAGCAGCCGCGGUAAU
rnacentral:rRNA from 1 species